AUUGAACGCUGGCGGCAGGCCUAACACAUGCAAGUCGAGCGGAUGAAGGCAGCUUGCUCCUGGUUUCAGCGGCGGACGGGUGAGUAAUGCCUAUGAAUCUCCCUGGUAUUGGGGUAUAACGUCCUGAAACGGGCGCUAAUACCGCAUACUUCCUGCUGGUGAAAGAUGGGGAUCUUCGGACCUCACGCGAUCAGAUGAGCCUAGGUCGGAUUAGCUAGCUGGUUGGGUAAAGGGCUACUAAGGCGGCCAUCCGUAACUGGUCUGAGAGGAUGAUCAGUCACACUGGAACUGAGACACGGUCCAGAGUACUAAGGGAGGCAGCAGUGGGGAAUAUUGGACAAUGGGCGAAAGCAUGAUCCAGCCAUGCCGAGUGUGUGAAGAAGGUCUUCGGAUUGUAAAGCACUUUAAGUUGGGAGAAACGGCAGUAACUUAAUACCUUGCUGUUUUGACGUUACCAACAGAAUAAGCACCGGCUAACUACGUG
rnacentral:rRNA from 1 species